GCGUUUAUAGCUCAAUUAGGAUAGAGCAAUGAUCUUCUAAGUCAUAGGUUGUAAGUUCAAAUCUUACUAAACGUA
rnacentral:tRNA from 1 species